rnacentral:rRNA from 1 species
CCUACGGGAGCAGCAGUGGGGAAUAUUGGACAAUGGGGGGAACCCUGAUCCAGCCAUGCCGCGUGUGUGAAGAAGGCCCUCGGGUUGUAAAGCACUUUCAGUGAGGAAGAACGCCUGGUGGUUAAUACCCAUCAGGAAAGACAUCACUCACAGAAGAAGCACCGGCUAACUCCGUGCCAGCAGCCGCGGUAAUACGGAGGGUGCGAGCGUUAAUCGGAAUUACUGGGCGUAAAGCGCGCGUAGGUGGCUUGAUAAGCCGGUUGUGAAAGCCCCGGGCUCAACCUGGGAACGGCAUCCGGAACUGUCAAGCUAGAGUGCAGGAGAGGAAGGUAGAAUUCCCGGUGUAGCGGUGAAAUGCGUAGAGAUCGGGAGGAAUACCAGUGGCGAAGGCGGCCUUCUGGACUGACACUGACACUGAGGUGCGAAAGCGUGGGUAGCAAACAGGAUUAGAUACCCCUGUAGUC